rnacentral:rRNA from 1 species
UACAGAGGGUGCGAGCGUUGUUCGGAAUUACUGGGCGUAAAGGGCUCGUAGGCGGCCAACUAAGUCGGACGUGAAAUCCCCAGGCUCAACCUGGGAACUGCGUCCGAUACUGGAUGGCUUGAAUUCGGGAGAGGGAUGCAGAAUUCCAGGUGUAGCGGUGAAAUGCGUAGAUAUCUGGAGGAAUACCGGUGGCGAAGGCGGCAUCCUGGACCGACAUUGACGCUGAGGAGCGAAAGCUAGGGGAGCAAACGGG